UGAAUGGCUUUUUAAACUUUAUA
rnacentral:snRNA from 1 species